GUCGGCAUAGCUCAGUUGGUUAGAGUAUCACCUUGACAUGGUGGGGGUCCUUGGUUCGAAUCCAAGUGUCGACACGA
rnacentral:tRNA from 1 species